GGAGCUCACAAUUUAGUUGAAGAGAAAAAAUAUCUGUUGUAUCAUAUACAGAAUGAAAAUAACAUAACUGAAUUCAAGUUUGUAUGCCCAAUGCACAGUAAUGGCAAUCACUGAGACAUCAGUUUCUAAGGGACACAUAUAAGAGGUUUCACUCACUACCAUUGGCCAGAACUAGUCAUGUGACCCCCCCUCACCUAACUUCAAGAGGACUGAGAAGUGUCAUCUUCGGUGUAGCCAGAAGGAAGGAAAAGAGAUAUUGUAAUCCAACAGAAAAAUAUUCAAGUUUGAUAGCUGGUUUCCAGAGAGACACCUUCUUCCACCUAUGGGUUCCAAAGAUAAUUCCAUGAAGAAUAAUAAAUGUCCAGAAGCCAAAUGUAGUAUGCUAUUG